AGCUCCUAUAGCUUAAGUGGUUAAAGCGUCCGCCUCGAAAGUGAGAGGUCGCGGAUUCGAACCCCGGAGAGUCA